rnacentral:rRNA from 1 species
GACUAACGCUGGCGGCGUGCCUAAUACAUGCAAGUCGAACGGGAUUCUUUGAUCAGCUUGCUGAGAGAAGGAUCUAGUGGCGGACGGGUGAGUAACGCGUGGGAAUCUGCCUCUUACUGGGGGAUAACAGUGGGAAACUACUGCUAAUACCGCAUAAGAUCUUCGGAUGAAAGGUGCAACUGCACCGGUAAGAGAUGAGCCCGCGUCCCAUUAGCUAGUUGGUGAGGUAAAGGCUCACCAAGGCGACGAUGGGUAGCCGGCCUGAGAGGGUGAACGGCCACACUGGGACUGAGACACGGCCCAGACUCCUACGGGAGGCAGCAGUAGGGAAUCUUCCGCAAUGGGCGCAAGCCUGACGGAGCGACGCCGCGUGAGUGAUGAAGGCCUUGGUCGUAAGCUCUGUUCUUGAGGACGAAUAAGACCAGGGAGUGGAAGACCCUGGUGAUGACUGUACUCAAGGAGAAAGACUCCGGCUAACUACGUAGCCACG